rnacentral:rRNA from 1 species
UACGAAGGGGGCUAGCGUUGUUCGGAUUUACUGGGCGUAAAGCGCACGUAGGCGGAUCGAUCAGUCAGGGGUGAAAUUCUGGAGCUCAACUCCAGAACUGCCUUUGAUACUGAAGAUCUUGAGUUCGGGAGAGGUGAGUGGAACUGCGAGUGUAGAGGUGAAAUUCGUAGAUAUUCGCAAGAACACCAGUGGCGAAGGCGGCUCACUGGCCCGAUACUGACGCUGAGGCACGAAAGCCAGGGGAGCAAACGGG